rnacentral:tRNA from 1 species
GCGGGUUGGCAGGGGUCUCCGAUCAGCUUCCCAAGCUGAGAACGCGGGUUCGAUUCCCGUCACCCGCU